UUCCAGAAUAGUUUGAUCCAGAGGAUAGUAAAAAAAUUAAAAAUUAUUUGCUAAUGAAAGACCCCCAGAGCAGGGAGACCCUCACUCAAGUCUCGGGAUGACACGACCCCCCAAGAACUCAUGUAAGCCC
rnacentral:pre_miRNA from 14 species